rnacentral:rRNA from 1 species
UCCUGACGGUAGUCGUAUGCUCGUCUCCGAGACUAAGCCAUGCAAGUCCAAGUACACGUCCUUGAACGACGGAAACUGCGAACGGCUCAUUAAAUCAGUUGCGAUCUACUCGGCGUUCCGCGCCGCCGGAUAACCGUAGUAAUUCUAGGGCUAAUACGUGCGAAGCGCCCGAAGCCGCGAGGCGACGGGCGUUCUCGCCGGAUGUAGGAACCGACCCGGGGACCGCCGGGGCAACCCGGCGCCCCCGAGACGGGGCGAACCACGGUGAAAUGACGGAUCGUCGGCCCCGCGCCGGCGACUCGCCGAAUGAGUUUCUGACCUAUCAACUCGAGACGGCGGGGUAGAGGCCCGCCGCGGUAACGACGGGUAACGGGGAAUCAGGGUUCGAUUCCGGAGAGGGAGCCCGAGAAACGGCUACCACUUCCAAGGAAGGCAGUAGGCGCGCAACUUACCCUAAUCUCGAUUCGAGG